rnacentral:lncRNA from 1 species
CCAGUACCACCAGAAUGGGUGCCACAGCCCCCUACUGGUCCCAGGACCACCAGUACUGGUGCCGGAGCCCCCGUACUGGUCCCAGUAUGAGCAGUACUGGUGCCGGAACCCCUGCACUGGUCCCAGUAUGGGCAGUAAUGAUGCUGGAGCUCCUGUACUGGUUCCAGUACCACCAGUACUGGUGCUGGCACUCCCAUACUGGUCCCAGUACCACCAGUACAGGUGCUGGGUCCCCCAUAAUGGUCCCAGUACAACCAGUAAUGGUGCCGGAACCCCCUGUACUGGUUCCAGUACCACCAGUACGGGUGCUGGGUCCCACAUACUGGUCCCAGUACGAGCAGUACUGGUGCCGGAGCUCCCGUACAGGUCCCAGUACGAGCAGUACUGGUGCUGGGUCCCCCGUAAUGGUCCCAGUACCACCAGUACUGGUGCCGGAACCCCCGUACUGGCUCAAGUACCACCAGUACUGGUGCUGGCGCUCCUCUACUGGUCCCAGUAUCACCAGUACAGGUGCUGGGUCCCCCAUACUGGUCCCAGUACCACCCGUACAGGUGCCGGGGCUCCCGUACUGGUCCCAGUACAGGCAGUACAGGUGCCGGGGCCCCCGUACUGGUCCCAGUACAGGCAGUACAGGUGCCGGAGCUCCCGUACUGGUCCCAGUACCACCAGUACAGGUGCCAGAGCUCCCAUACUGGCCCCAGUACCACCAGUACAGGUGCCGGAGCUCCCAUACUGGUCCCAGUACCACCAGUACAGGUGCCGGGGCCCCCGUACUGGUCCCAGUACCACCAGUACAGGUGCCGGAGCUCCCGUACUGGUCCCAGUACGGGCAGUAGAGGUGCCGGAGCUCCCGUACUGGUCCCAGUAUGGGCAGUACAGGUGCCGGAGCUCCCGUGCUGGUCCCAGUACAGGCAGUAUUGGUGCCGGGACCCCUGUACUUGUCCCAGUACAGGCAGUACAGGGGCCGGAGCUCCCGUACUGGUCCCAGUACCGGCAGUACAGGGGCCGGAGCUCCCGUACUGGUCCCAGUACAGCCAGUACUGGUGCCACAGCCCCUCUACUGGUCUGUACUGGUCCAGUACCAGCAGCCUAUAGCCCCAGUACAUCCAGUUUAGUAUCUCCAGUUCCAGAGCCCUCAUACUGGUCCAUACUGGGCCAGUCCCAGCAACCAGUGCAUUUAAACUCAUCCAAUUACAACAAUCAAUUAGUGCAAUUAGUCCCUAGCAGCCUCUAAUUAACCUAGCUCAUUAAGUCCCCACACCAUCCUCGUUAAGCGCGAAGCGCUAAUUUCUUUGAAAAAGUCCGAAUUGGGGCAAAAGCCAAAUAAAUGUGGUUUGAGGACUGGGUUCA